GUGAAUUGUUGUUAAACUUUUGCAAGUGGUAACAGUACAAUGGUUUGCACACAUUGCCAUUGUGCUACUAAAUGAUCUGUAACAUUCAUGCCGAAAUUAUUUGGUUUUGGUCCUAUGCUUUUUUACCUGUUCAUUUACUGAUGAAGAUAGCACAUGUUCAUAUUUUUAAAUUAUAGUUAUCUGUGCUUCUAGUUGAUAGAGAUCAAAAUAUUUCAGACUUUCAGACUGAAAUAUCUUUUCUUCCUUUGCUAUAAUUCAUGGGCCAUGGAAGAGAGGAGGGAAAGCAGAGGGAGUGCAGUGCCAAGGAAAUGCAGCAGGAAAGGUUGGAAAUAGCGUCGCUCGAGCGGGGAAUGGAAGGGGAGACGACCCGUGCGCAGGGGCGACACUACUGCUAUGCUACGGUUCAUGUUGGUGCCGCUGUUACUACAUUGAGAGAGACUGUCGCGCCCGUUUGAUGUCUGAGCAUGCUCGGAAGUAUGAGUGAGAAAUAAGCUUCGGCCUUGGACAUGACCUUAAUCCAGGUCGCCGUCGGGACACCGUUGCCGAGGGCUGCGUGUCCGACACCCUUGAGACGCUCUUUCUUUCCGAGGCCACUACGGGGAGGCCUGUGCGCUUGCGCGUGCUCAUGUAUGACCGGCAACUCCCGUGGGCGGGCUCCGUGGCGUGUGCCGCCGGCGUGCCGACGGCCACGCUCUUCUCACAGCUCUGCUCGGUGGGCGUCAUCUACAGGAAGGUCUAUGCGGGCCGCUUCGACCCGCCGGUCAUGGAAGGGGGCGCGCUGCGGGGCCUGCUGAGUGGUGGAAGUGUCAUCAUUUGUGGCAGCACCGGAGUCAUACCGGUUGUUGCUGGAUGUAGUGGUGGGCCCGUUUGAAGGGUUUGUGGACGCCGCCGACGUCAUAGCAACUCGUUCCAUGAGCUUGAUAUCAAGAAAGUCGAUCUGUUGGGGGCACACAUGGGAACAAUGUGAUAGCUGAAUUAAUUCAAGAUCAUGUAUGUAGGUCUUCUAUAUGUUAUAUGAAAUUUCAUAACCCAUUUUUUCCCUUCAGGCACCAACACGCGAACAGAGCUAUGAAUUAUUUUGUAUUUAGAUGACAUAAUGAGUGUUGAAUCUCAUAUAUUUUGUUUAUAAAGAGAUGAAAAUUGGUGCUCUUCUGACCUCUGUUGGAAUCAAUAUUGGUCUUUGUAUACCUUUUCUGUUAUUCUAUUCCAUUUUGAGGAAGAACCACAAAAUGUUAAGGUCUAUUUUGGGAGAAGGAUUGCUGAACAACAUAAGAGGCUCCGAGGAGCUUUUAUUUUGGAGAUAUUUGUUUCAUCCCACAUAGGAGCAGCUGCUGGAAUAGAAAUAAAUGGCUUCUAUACAUGUAAGGCAUCAUGGGUACUCUUCUUACAGGAAACAUACCUACUUGGUCGCAUACUCGAGUGCAUUUGCUUGGUGGUGUGCUUCUCUUUUUUCUUGUAGUGAUCCAGAAGGAUCAUCAAAGUAGUCCUUUUGUUUGAUGCAUUAGCCUUUUUUUUGGGAUAUGCUAACUUGAUUUUGAUUUCUACAGGUGUAGCUAAGCUAGCACAAAGAAGGGGUGUCCCUAACAUGUUGUUGAUUCCAUUUCUUCUACUAUAUUAUAUGAAUAGGCAGUCUAAUUGCUGAUUCAGAAGUCUUCUAGGGAACAAGAUGCCCAACUCGUUAUCAUGUUGUGUGGGUUAAAACAAAUUUACAACUGAUGGUGGUUAUAAAGCUUGGCCGAAAUUUGUUUGUGAAUUAUUCUGGAUCCAUAUAUGUAUUUAUCCCUAAUGAUUGGGCAUCUCUAAUGUAUGCCGGGUACAUUCCCUACAAGAUUGCAU